rnacentral:rRNA from 1 species
CUACGGGUCGCAGCAGUGGGGAAUAUUGGACAAUGGGCGCAAGCCUGAUCCAGCAAUACCGCGUGUGUGAAGAAGGCCUGCGGGUUGUAAAGCACUUUCAAUUGGGAAGAAAAGCUUGGGGCUAAUAUCCUCGAGUCUUGACGUUACCUUUAGAAGAAGCACCGGCUAACUCCGUGCCAGCAGCCGCGGUAAUACGGAGGGUGCAAGCGUUAAUCGGAAUUACUGGGCGUAAAGCGCGCGUAGGCGGUUUGUUAAGUCAGAUGUGAAAGCCCUGGGCUCAACCUGGGAACUGCAUUUGAUACUGGCAGACUAGAAGCUGGUAGAGGGAAGUGGAAUUCCGGGUGUAGCGGUGAAAUGCGUAGAGAUCCGGAGGAACAUCAGUGGCGAAGGCGACUUCCUGGACCAAGAUUGACGCUGAGGUGCGAAAGCGUGGGUAGCAAACAGGAUUAGAUACCCCCGUAGUC